ACUACGGGAGGCUGCAGUGGGGGAUAUUGGACAAUGGGGGGAACCCUGAUCCAGCGACGCCGCGUGAGUGAAGAAGUAUUUCGGUAUGUAAAGCUCUGUCAGCAGGGAAGAAAGAAAUGACGGUACCUGACCAAGAAGCCCCGGCUAACUACGUGCCAGCAGCCGCGGUAAUACGUAGGGGGCAAGCGUUAUCCGGAAUUACUGGGUGUAAAGGGAGCGUAGACGGUUAAGUAAGUCUGGAGUGAAAGGCCGGGGCCCAACCCCGGGACUGCUCUGGAAACUAUUGAACUUGAGUGCAGGAGAGGUAAGCGGAAUUCCUAGUGUAGCGGUGAAAUGCGUAGAGAUUAGGAGGAACACCAGUGGCGAAGGCGGCUUACUGGACUGUAACUGACGUUGAGGCUCGAAAGCGUGGGGAGCAAACAGGAUUAGAUACCCUGGUAGUC
rnacentral:rRNA from 1 species